AGACAGCCAAUCAGCCGUCAUAAAAGUUUGUACGCAAACUUUUGAUAUCCAAAAUGGAGAGUGCCAAGGAAUUGCUUUGCGAUUGAGGGUUCGAGUCACGUCAGCCGUCAAAAUUUUGAGGAGGCCUAUGGAGCUGAGUGAGGAUGAGGAUCCAGUUUUGCAAGAUAAAACGACACCAAAACCAAGAAAGAGGGUCAGAUGCCCCUAUGAAUUUGAUGUUGAAAGGUAGAAACGGAAGGGGCUUGCUGGAGGCAUUAACUCGAGGAUGGGUUCUAAACAACAGCGAGAGAUUCAACUCAAAAUUCUAAACAACAGCGAGAGAUUCAACUCAAAAUUCAACUCAACUGAGUGUUGGUUAGCCAUCUAAUUGAAGAGCAUUGAUGGAACCCACCAUCACAAGUGAAGGAAAGCCUUGCGCACAGCCUUGUGGAUCAAUUCAAAAUUUUGAAGGACAUCAACGGAAUCACAGGGUAUGAAGGAACAUCCAUUGAAUAUUAUUUGGCCUAUCUUGAUGCAAAGGAUCAACCACAGCCUUUCUUGUUGAUCCUUGGAGGCACCCGGUGGAAACCGAGCCAGGUUUUGUCAUUGUCGAGCGUAACACCGUCCAGUGUACAUGUACUUCCAUCAUGCAAGCUAUAGACGUCUGCUUUAAGUUAACCUAUGUGCUGGAUGUUGACUACCACACCCAGUGUUCUCCUGCAUGGCAAAUAUGCUCCAGCAAUUGGUGUAUGAAUUGCCUCCCGGUGCUUUGAGUGGUGUUGUCCUGCUCAGCUUUUGAACUUUGCUGGGCAACAUCAAGAAGGAAUUUUAGUCUGAAUAGGCAGCAUUCAGUACUAAGGAAGCAAGUAACAGUAGUUUUGUAUUAAAUAGGCGAUUUCUCUU